AUUGAACGCUGGCGGCAGGCCUAACACAUGCAAGUCGAGCGAGCGGCGGACGGGUGAGUAAUGUAUGGGGACUGCCCGAUAGAGGGGGAUAACUACUGGAAACGGUAGCUAAUACCGAAUACUAUCGGAUAACCCAUAUGGGAUUAGCUAGUAGGUGAGGUAAUGGCGCACCUAGGCGACGAUCCCUAGCUGGUCUGAGAGGAUGAUCAGCCACACUGGGACUGAUACACGGCCGAGACUCCUCCGGAGGUAGAAGUGGGGAAUAUUGGAAAAUGGGCGCAAGGCGGAUGCAGCGAUGGCGGGUGUAUGAAGAAGGGCCUAGGGUUGUAAAGUACUUUCAGUCGGGAGGCGUUACCGACAGAAGAAGCACCGGCUAACUCCGUGCCAGCAGCCGCGGUAAUAC
rnacentral:rRNA from 1 species